rnacentral:rRNA from 1 species
UACGUAGGGAGCAAGCGUUGUCCGGAAUCAUUGGGCGUAAAGCGCGCGUAGGCGGCCUCGUAAGUCCGUUGUGAAAAGUCAAAGGCUCAACCUUUGAAAGCCGAUGGAUACUGUGAGGCUAGAGUCCGGAAGAGGCGAGUGGAAUUCCUGGUGUAGCGGUGGAAUGCGCAGAUAUCAGGAGGAACACCAAUAGCGAAGGCAGCUCGCUGGGACG